rnacentral:lncRNA from 1 species
UCCUUAACCUAACCUGAUUUUCUAAGGUUUUUGGGGCCUAUAAAUACAUGUUUACACCCCUUGGCCAAAGGAGAAUCCCCCAUAUUCAUCAUUUUAUCACAGAAAUUCGUCCAUACACACCCUAGGAAGCAAAACACCCCAAAAACACCAUUCUAGUGCCUAGAAAACAUAACAGACACUCCACCUUCUUCCACCCUCUUUGCCUAGUUCUCUACCACUCCCCAACCAUCAAACACUCUUCCACACUCACCCUAAACCCCUCCAUAUCAUUCCCCAUCCAUUCUACACCAUAA